AUGAAAAUGUUCCGUUUUCCCGAUAAGCAACACCGUAGUCGGUGCACUCAACAUCCUCUCUUUACUCCUCGGCCUCGCCGCCAUUGCUUCCUCCGCCUACAUCCACAUCGCGGCGGUUCCGACUGUCAAAAGUUACCUUCUGGUGACAUUCUUGGUUGUGGUGGGACUUGCUUUCUUCACGGUGUUUGCUCUGUUUGUGACCAAUAG